rnacentral:rRNA from 1 species
GAUGAACGCUGGCGGCGUGCCUAAUACAGGCAAGUCGAGCGAACAGAUGAGGAGCUUGCUCCUCUGACGUUAGCGGCGGACGGGUGAGUAACACGUGGAUAACCUACCUAUAAGACUGGGAUAACUUCGGGAAACCGGAGCUAAUACCGGAUAAUAUAUUGAACCGCAUGGUUCAAUAGUGAAAGACGGUUUUGCUGUCACUUAUAGAUGGAUCCGCGCCGCAUUAGCUAGUUGGUAAGGUAACGGCUUACCAAGGCAACGAUGCGUAGCCGACCUGAGAGGGUGAUCGGCCACACUGGAACUGAGACACGGUCCAGACUCCUACGGGAGGCAGCAGUAGGGAAUCUUCCGCAAUGGGCGAAAGCCUGACGGAGCAACGCCGCGUGAGUGAUGAAGGUCUUCGGAUCGUAAAACUCUGUUAUUAGGGAAGAACAAAUGUGUAAGUAACUAUGCACGUCUUGACGGUACCUAAUCAGAAAGCCACGGCUAACUACGUG